CUGGGGAUUUAGCUCAGUGGCGUAAGCGCCUGCCUUGCAAGCAGGCAGUUGUGAGUUCGAUCUCCAGGACCAAUUAAAAAAAAAAUUCAAGAAGGCUGGGACAUGGCUUGGUAGCUCCAGAUCCAUGUGCCUGAUGGUCAAACUGAGAUUUCAGACCAACACUGCUCACACGGCUCCAGGUUUCUGCCCCAGGAUCUUUGCACUGGCUGCUCCUGCUCCUCUUGCGUUUCCAUCCAGAAUCAAAGACUUCAGAGACGGAAGGAAAACAGGAAGUUGAGUUGAGCUAGCUCCUUGGACAGAGGCAAAUGACACCUGGAGAAACCGGCUUAAUAAAGACAGCGAGUAGACCUUGGGGGACCAGGUCCUGUCUCAGGGUCUCGCCACCCCGUCACGCUUCCUGCCACACCAGCUUGCAUACUUACCUCUUGGGGUUCUGCUCAUCUCUGCAGCUUCGUAUACACUCAGGGUCAAAGCUCUGGCUGCUUCUGACACUUGCAGCUGUGGGAACUUCACUGUCCGUGUUGAAACCCAGAGGCAUGUCCUGCGGCUUACUUCUGCGGUGCAGGGCUAACGCAACUGCCUGAAUUCUUCUUCUCCCUGCGCACCCUUGAUGGUCCACAUGGUUAAUUUUCCAGUGUCCACCAAGACGCUCAAGAAAGGAACUUUGCAAGCACUUUGCAACAGCGACCUAAUUCUGAUGCAAAAUGCAGUAACAAAGCCUUCUGCAGCUGGUCCUACAUCAUCCUGUAUAGCUGCUAAAGGUGCUGAGGACCUCACCUUCCUUCAGUCACCUUGAUGCCACCACCACGUGCCUCCCUGCCUCUGGUUAGAGCUGAGGAGUCCUCAGAGCCUUUGCCCUAAGCUCCGACCCUCUGUCUGGAACCUUGAGGCACAGCUGAAGCUGUACCCACAGAUAGAUAGGAAUACAGGGGUCCUGAAGGGGCCGAGGAAGCUGCCAGUCCUCACCGUCAGUGUCCUUUCAGGCCAUGCUCUCAGGCCAGCCAGGUGAUAUGGUCCCACAGCUGGAGGCUCUGCAGGUUUGGGGGCCCUUCAUGUCAGCCCAGGCUGCAGGAACACUAGGAGACAAGGCGUCAGUGAACGGACACCCUGGGAGGCUCCUCCGCUCUCUCCUCAUGCUCCCAGCUCUGUGCUGCCUCCUGUGUGUGUACCAAGUGGCUGGAGAGAUGGCAGUGCUCCCCUCUUUGAGUUUCCUGUAGCAAAUUUCCAGAAGCCUCACGAUCUGAAACAGCACCGUCCGGCAGCCAGAAGGCUGAAAUCAAGGCAUCGGCUGGGUCAGUCUCCCUCAGAAGGCCCCUGCAGGACCCCUCCUGUCCUUUCCCAGCUUCUGUGGCCUCGGUAACACCGGGGCAAUCUCAUCUUCUGGUUCCAAACGUCCGGUAUGAGUUUGUGUUCUCUAAAAUUGAAGAAUGAAUUGUAGGAACAACAGAAAUUAAGAGCAGAAUAUAUUUAUUGAGAGAAAGAAAGCUUCUGUCAGAGACAGACAGAAGGAGUCCUGAGUGGCUUGCCAGGGCCCCUGCUUUUUUUAGGGUUUUAUAGAGCAAAGCAAUGAGAUGAUGCAGGUCCAUGGCGGGGGGGGAAAAAGGGGAAAUCACAAGGUGGACACGAGGUGAGACAGAACUAUGAUCAACCAAUAAGAUUACGUGGGUAAUUGCUCAGGUAAAAUCGAUUAAAUCAGGAUCAAAUGGGGAAGCUGCGCAGCGAGCGCCCAUGAAUACAGAACAGGGCUCUCCCUGUAGGGGGUUAGCGGCUCUUCGGGCUCCUCAAGGUGAUCAAUACCUGUCUCGAAUAUCAAUCCCUGAUGUCUAGCCUUAGGAAGUGUGUGGGUGCAUCUGUUUGAUCUUUGGUCUUGAGGUGGGCCCACAGCUGAGGUGUCUGUCUCCCCCACAGGUUACCUGAUCUUUCGCACUGGCUCUUUUGAGGACCCAGCCCUGGCUCACUGCCUAGAAUAUAUUUAUCUAUCUUGGCUGCCUAAUAUUCUCUUCUAUCUUUUGUUUUCUUUUCAGCGCUGAGGACUGAGCCCAGGGUCUUUGUGCUGAGCUACAUCCCUAGCUCUUUUUAUUUAUUAUUAUUUAUGUGGAGAAAGGGUCUUGCUAGCUAAGCCACUGAGUCCCCGAUAGAUUCCAUCCCCCCUCACUCUCACUGCCUGUGGCCGCUCUGGAAACCCCUGCUUCUGCUCUCAGAUCCACGCUGCCCCAUACACCCAGCUCAGCCUCCCCGCCGAGGAAAGGGAAGCAUUAAAUUCUCAGCCCUCUUUAAAGAUCAGGGCCCAGAGAGGGCUGCACAUUGACAUCCCUUUACUGGCUGGCAGUGACCUCAGGUCAUGGAUGGUAGGGAGGGCGGGGUUCUCCUCUGGUUUUCCUCCUUCCCUUGCCCCCUUUUCCCUUUCUCCCCUAGAUUCUUGCAGCAUGAUCAGCUCCAUUGGGCAAUUCCAGAACCGGAGCACAGGGCCAGGCUUCUGCUCCGAGGGAAGGCGGAGCGGUAGGGCAGUGAAGUCCCAAGCCAGCUGCUGUUUGUCACUGGGCAUCCCAGGUCCAGCAUGUGCCUCGUCCGUGUGAAGCACCUCUAACGUGAAAGAAUUAAUUGCUCCUAUUCUUGCAAUGCACUUGGUUUGGAAGUCACCAUGAAAUACUUUCCCUCCAGAAUAUUUCAUGCUAAAAAAAUUGCCAAGAGGCCAUUUUGCUUGUGUAUUUACUUAUUUGCAGGAUGGGGAUCAGAUCCAACUCAUGCCAGGCUGGUGUGCUAUCACUAAGCUGUGACCCCACCUCUAUUCCAGCCCCCGUAUUUGUGCCAGAUGUACUAAGACUUACACUUACCUCUCUAAUGUGCAGAACCCAGCUGCCACCUUGAACAAUGCCAGCUUUCUGCAGUCUGAUUUCUGAACCUGAGUUUGAAAUCCCAUUCUGCUAACACAGAAGCACCUGCGCUCUGCAAAAUGGUCAGCCAAGGAAACCAUUCUGUCCAGUCUGUCCCAGGCUCCCACCCCAUGAAGUCUGUGGUGGCCCCCUUGGGAGCUGGGCUGUUCUUGGUCACCUCUGUGGUAGCCAGCUCAAGUACUAACUAGGAACUGGGCUGUCUUUGCAGGCUGGGGUUCAUGUUUCCGGGAAUCCUGCUGAGUGAGAGGUUCUGGGCCAGAACCACAGCCAGGCUCUGGACAACGCCCUGGGAGAAGAGAAUUCCCCAGCCAUUUAGAAAGAAGUCAGGGCACUGGGCCUGCCAGCCCACUUGGCUCAGGAUUCCUGGACUGGCUGUGCUUGGUUCCGUGGCUGUCACGUAACUGGUGAUCUGGGUCAAGCUGGUACCAAGUCUCUCCCAGGCCUGCCCCGUGGGGACAUGUCUGGCGAGCAAUGGCCUGAGGCAGAGAAGCUGUGUAACGGGAACCUGCUCCAUGCCACUCCAUGCCACUCCAUGCCAAUCCUGACCACAGAAAGUCUCUCUGUGAAGUUUAAACCCCUCUGCCUGUAAGAAAGUCAAGCGCCUCUCUCCUAUGCAGCUGCUCACUAGCCAGGGGUGCAAGAGGCACAGACUCAGUGACCGGCUAAGCUGCAUUUUCUCAUCAGCGAUGGGAGGGGAUGUGUCAGAGGUCCCCAGAUCAGUUGGAUUCAGUUCAACAGUCUCCAUCCAGGACUGAGAGAUUCGUGGGCCACGGGAGAGCAGGUUCCAGGAGCAGGGUCUGGAGCCCUGGGGGUGGGAGGGGGGAGGCAGAGAGAGGACCCAGAGGUUCAGGCAGGACCACGUAGCUCAGAGGGCCGGGAAAACCGGCUUUUGUCUGUGAGGUGUGAUUCAAAAAUACAUUAAAUGUUUAAACUUUGAAAACGUACUGCAGUAAGAUACACGCUGCCAUUAACCUCCCUCGGAACACCCUCCCCACCCAAACAUGCUUUUCCCAUCGUCCUUGCCAUUUUCUGAAGCUCUUCUGGAAGUCCUCUCUCAUGAGUGUCUUUAGUUGCACUCUUGUGACUACCUUGAUGUCCUGAAUUGAUUCAAAACCUUUACUUUUUGUGGUCACUUUGACUUUGGAGAAGAUCGGGUGAACACGGUGGUGAGGACACUUGGUGGCAUUUUUAUGAGCCUGGCAUUCUGGUGGGUGGCACUCGGCAGCAGCACGCACCACGUUCUUGUCACAGCUUGCUCUGUGUCAUCGCCUCUAACGUCUUUCCCACUCCUUCCUGAACUAGUCCUGACCUCCCGGCUGCUCUCUGUCCCCUGGCUGCAUUUAUUCAAAAGCGUGCCUGCUGGACUGCCCUGCUCCUGCUGCCCCUCUCUCCCUGCUCAGACCUGGCACAAACCCUGCAUCCCUCCCCCAGCAAGACCCCAUUCACUCUUCCAUGUCGCCACUUUCAGCAGUGCCGAGACACCUCCUCAGCCUCACACAGUCCCCCAACUGUACCCCAAGUGCAGACCCAGCAUAGCCAACAAAGACGAGACCACCAAAAGGGGCACGGCCUCCUCCCUGGCUCCUCCACAGAUAGAGGAGGAGGAUGGUUGGGAGUGAUUUGGGUUCGCUCAACACAGCAGCAAAUGAUAUUAAAAGGGAGGAAGAAAUAAGCUAAAAUAGAGCUAAAGGUAGAGAUUAGACCUGUUUUUCCCCAGUUCUGGGGAUCAAAUUCAGGGCCUGGUGCAUGGCGGGCUCACAUUCCGUCACUGAACUAUACCCCCAUCCUCUGCGUCUCUAUUCUGAAGGACAGGAGGAGAAUAAGAACCUUCCCCUCUGCAGGUGACUUGUCCUGUGUCCCCUCCGAUGACGUCACUGCAAAGAUGAGGCGGGGCAUCAGUGUGUGGCGUGGAGUGAAUGGUUAAGGCACCGUCCUUCCUGAACCAUCUCUAUUCAGCUUUGCCUCGGCAUCCCUGAGCCUGUCAGGCUGUGGGAGCGUCCAGGGUGAGGCUAAAGAUUCCCGGAGCCAACAGACUUGAGAACUCAGGGCUGCCGUCUGCCAGCCUGGUGACCCCUGCUUUGGAAUUUGGGCUUGGGCUUCCUCACCUGUACGGUGACCACAGAGCUAUCACCUUUCAGGGUGCUGAUGACCCCAAUAAGAAAAGAGAUGGCAGGAGUUCUACAUGGGGCUGUGCAUGCAGGGGCAUCGGCAGGUCAGGGGUGCCCAAGCCCUGGCCCACAGCCCGGUACCAGUUCUCGCACUGUUAGGUACCACACCAAGCAGCAGGACUCGAGCAGCUUGGGGAUGAGGGGUCAAACCUUCACUUGUAUUUAGGGUCAUGCCUGAGCUUGGCUCCUGGCAGAUCAGCAGCGGCUUCAGAUUGUCACCGGAGCACGGACCCUACUGUGGGCUGCAUGUGUGAGGGAUCUGGGUCAUGAGGUCUCUGAUCUUCCUCACACCGCUAACCCCCACGGUGGAAAAAUUAUUGCCCAUGAAACUGAUGCCUGAUACCAAAAAGCUUGGUGACAGCUGCCACAGGUGAGGCUGGCUGGGGGUGGUGGGAGUGUCCUCAGGGGAGCUUGGCUCCUGAGGUCCCAAAGAAAGAGGAGGAGGCCCUGGAAGCUGGCGCAGUCCCCGCAGAAGACACCACCAGAGUCACAGGUACCCCAUGCAGGGUGGUGGAGAGGAGGUGAGCGCCAACAUCCUAGGGGGCACCUGCACCCCUAGCCCCCUCCCCAGGAGCAGGUGUUGCUUCCUUCUAGCGUGACACCCCCCAGGGGCAGUCUCCUUGACCUGUGAGCAGUCCUCAGUCUGGUCACCAAUUCCACCAUCGACUAAUGGCUGACCUAACAUCUUUCAGUGAAUGACCUUGUUGGCAAUUCGAAUAUCUUUCAGUGUCAGAAAUAAUAAGCAGCAUCACAAGAUGAAGUAGAGUUUAAGCUGAGUGCAGAUGAAUGGGGCUUUAAUAUUCCGAAUUUAAUCACCCGCUUCUGUGGCACUGCGGGCAACAUGACGUAGCAGCUAAUUAUUUUUUUAAAGCACGAAGAGGAACAUUCCUCACCAAUUUCAUAUUUAAGAUGAAUGAAGGGAAGGCGGUGAUUAAUGAUAGCAUAAAUCUCCCAAAUAGGCAAUGAUCAGUUAAAAAGAUGGCAAGAUGGGUUUUUUCUUUCCUGUAGUGAUUUCUUCAAGAGUGGCAUGGGUCACAACUGUCAGCGUCUUUCAUUCUGCAAAGGGGACAUACGCAAGUUUUGGGGGACACAUUGGCUGGACAGACCCUCUCUUCAUACUGCGAAGCCACGUCCAGCAAGUCUGGUGGCUUGCCUGGCGGCCACAUGGAUACAAAUAAGCACAGUGUCCUUCCCAAGUUGUUCACCAAUGAGGACAGAGGUGUUUUACAGCUGCCAUUGUUGACUGGGGACACACAGACAGUGGUGAAAGACCCUGGCAUUUAUGUCUGAAGAAGAGGUCUAUUCAAAUGCUGGCAGUGUCCUUUACCGAGUGACCUUGAAACUCAAUUUUCUCAUCUUUUAAAUGGGUAUAAUAAUGCCCCUUGGACAGUAUGGGCUCCGUAUGAAUGAACGCACCAUAGCUCCUGCCACAUCUGUGCCCCCAACUGUUUCUCUUGGCACUGGAAUCGGUGUCAGACCUUAUGCAAGGACCCACGUCCCAGGGGUGAGAGAUGUUCCUGAGGAAGUGGGCAGUGGAACAGGACCAGAGAGGGCCCCAAAGGGCAGAGGCCACCCAAGGAGAUGGCACUGGGCCAAGCCCACUGGAACCGGCUCAGACUGGGGCAAACUGGAGGCGAUGCUCGCACCUAAGAACUCGGGACAAGGACUCGGGAUGGGGAUUAAAACUCGCUGUCAGUCUCAGAGUAACGGGAAGCUGGUUCCCAGCAGCUUUCUGGGUAAGCCAUCUGGCAGAGUGAUCAGGUGUUAUCCACGGAUGCCAAAAGGCUGGGAGGGUACCUGAGAACUUGGAGCUGGGAGCAUUUGUCAUAACAAGCAGAGUCAGCUGUCUGUGCUGUGUUUCCGGUCACACUGUUCCCGCGCCCAUCCAUCCAGUCAUCCACGCUUUGCAUGAUGUGGGCCAAGGCCUGCUCAGGACCGAGGCUCCACACUGAACACAAAUCAUAAAAGUCCCUCUCUGACAGAGGUUACAGGCUCCAGGAGGAAUGGGGCAGCGGCGACAAUGAAACGCAUCAGAGGGAGGUCUCUUAGGAGGUGACUGUUUUCGUGCAGGGGAAUAAAGAAGGGGACCAGAGUGGGCCAGGACCAGGGCAGCAGCUUGUGCUCCUUGGGCUCCAAUCUGCAGGUCUAGGAAGCCCGUGGCCAGUAAAGACAGCGACUUCCUCUCUGGUGAACGGGAAGCUCUUGGAGGGGGAGGCAGAGUGAGAGUGUGAGACACAAAGGAACUGAGAGGGAACCCAGGUCUAGCUGGAGAGUGCAGAGCUGGGUUGCUCUUAGCUGAGACAGGCCAUUUUCUUCUCCUGGUGGGAAGGAAGGGCAGGCAGCUGGAAAGCAGGGAGGCUGACCUGGACAGUCUCCUGCAAGCGAGUUUGGGUGAAGAUAUCAAGAUGCCUAAAAAGUUUUUAAUAUCAUUCUUCCUGUCACAUCCAGCUUCCCAAAGUCGGUGUUGUGUCACCUUCUUCUCCCCCACCUUGCCAGGGGGAACCGAGGUGCUGGUUGCUUUGCUGCUUGACCCUAGGAAUUGUACACGGACACUGUCUUGUCUUUCAUUCCUGUGCUCAGGGAGGUCAUGCAAAGGCCUCUGCGUGAUUCUGUUCAGGCCCUGCGCUCCCAAGCGGAUACUGGAGGCCAAAUUUUCAAUCUGUGCCGAGAGAAAAGGGAACAUUUGCCUUUGGACUUCUGCUUUUGCCUCAAGCGAAAGUUGGAGGAGAGAAGCAUUGUGCAGACGCAAAGGUCCAGCGGAUUUCUUUCUCUCCCUCUCUUGCCUGUGUCCUCUCUGCCUAAGACUGGCCGUGGGAAAGCAGGUCCUCCAUCCCUGCACCAUCUCCUGUCAGCAUCGGGCCUUGGAGCCCUCACGGGGAGAGGGCAGCCUCAUGCCCUGCUAUUUCCUUCCAUGUGUCUUAGGUUGACAGCUCAUAAGGGCUGGUCCCUGAGCUCUGAGCUCUUUUGGUUUUUUAUUUUUUAAACCAUUUCAAUCGUAGGGAAAUUGAAUCCAUGUGUGUUUGGAUUAAUUGCUUAACUCCUAAAAAUGUUUUGUAAGAGAAACUUGAGUCCAAAAGGCUUUUUAGGUUGCUUCCCACCCGUUUCAUAGGGCCCGAUCAAGGGAAGUAACAGCCAGCUUGGACCAGCUCUGUGCUUGCAGCUGGACAGGGCUAAGGAGGACUCAGUGACCCCAGCGGAUAUGCGGUUCAGGUCCAGCGGAGAGGAGCCUGUGAAGCCUGCCCUGGGGUUCAGGAAACCUCCUGGGCUCUGCCGGAUUUCUGGGCUUUAGAGAAAGAGGACAUCUCCUGUGAUCUUGGGUCGAAUUUGAGACUUUCUUUUUCCUAAAUCUCCUUCCCAGAAUUUGACUGCUUCUCUGUUGUUUUAAAUAACAGUCACCUCAAAGGGUGACUUUCUUGCAUGGCCUGUGGGGGAUCAUGUCCUUUCAUCUAGACACUGUUCUAGUGUCUUGGCCAGUGGGUGACCCUCCACUGUCGAGAGCCAAGGCCAUUUGAUGGCUGGGGACACAAUGCCCAGCUUAAAGGCCCUCAUUCUGUCUGACCGUCUGUCCUCCUUCUGUCUGACCUUCUGCACCUUCCCCAGCCCUGCUGGGCAUUGGUACAGUCCCUGAUGGCCUCCUGUGGGCCAGCCUUAGUGCUUAGCUCUCACUGGUGACUGCAGAGGUGAGUACACUUGUGUGGCCAGCGGGACACUCCUGGGCAGAGCAAGGGGCUCUCUGCUCCCUAAAUUCCCUGAGCUGAUAAAUUACCGGCUUGGGGUGCAGAUGAGUACAGGGGUGGUGACAAUGUGUACAGUGAAGUUGGUGAUGCCCUCGGGGUUCUGCACGCUGACCCAAGGCUUUGAUCCCAAUGCUUUCGUGACCAAUUUCUCCUGAUGGCUUGGCACCAAUGCCACUUGGCACCAGUGCCACUCCGCUACCUUUCUCCUCUGCACCUUGACCAGGACUUCUGUCUAGCAACAGAGGAAGGAUUCUUUAGAGGCUGAAAUAUGUAUGCUCACCAGCAGGCAAGCACGAAGCAAGGAGCUUUCUCUGCCCCUCACAUCAGUGGUGUAAUGUCUGGGUUUCCGUGCUGGCUUCUGUAACACAACACAGACACUCAUCACCAGGAGUCAGCACAGAUGCCACAGGGCACCCAGCUGGGGUACAGUCAGGAAGCAGGCGAGGGCCCCGGGAAGACCUGCAGCCACGCUGUGUGCAGUGCUGAGGCUGGGGCAUGUUGUAACCUAUAUAAAAAAAAAAACCCUCAUAAGUCUCCCCAGACACAAGAGAAAGAUCAAAGGUAACUUUAAGAGCAGAACAGGAUGUUUACCUAAUCUAAACUUGCUUAUUAGCCCACCUGAACCUUGUUCUUCCCAAGAAAUGUAACCACCGCAUUCCUGUUCUGUAGUGUGCUGCAAACCCCACCCCCCUGCAUUGUGAGACCAGCAGCUGUUUGUGAUUUACAGGAUAAAACCCCCGCCCUUUAGCUGUUAGGCGCACAGUCUUCCAUAUUGGCUACGGAGGCUGCAUCGCCAGGCCUGUGCUUUAAUAAAUAAUUUUUUUCUUUCCAAA